rnacentral:rRNA from 1 species
UACGGGGGGGGGCUAGCGUUGUUCGGAAUUACUGGGCGUAAAGGGCUCGUAGGCGGCCAACUAAGUCAGACGUGAAAUCCCUCGGCUUAACCGGGGAACUGCGUCUGAUACUGGAUGGCUUGAAUCCGGGAGAGGGAUGCGGAAUUCCAGGUGUAGCGGUGAAAUGCGUAGAUAUCAGGAGGAACACCGAUAGCGAAGGCAGCUCGCUGGGACGGUACUGACGCUGAGGCGCGAAAGCGUGGGGAGCGAACAGG